UUAGAAGAACAGGAUUCGAACCCGCACCCGAGACCCCAAAACUCUCUGUACUACCUAUAUACUAUCUUCCA
rnacentral:tRNA from 1 species